UGGGGAAUAUUGGACAAUGGGGGGAACCCUGAUCCAGCCAUGCCGCGUGUGUGAAGAAGGCCUUAUGGUUGUAAAGCACUUUAAGCGAGGAGGAGGGUACUGGUAUUAAUACUACCAGCUACUGGACGUUACUCGCAGAAUAAGCACCGGCUAACUCUGUGCCAGCAGCCGCGGUAAUACAGAGGGUGCGAGCGUUAAUCGGAUUUACUGGGCGUAAAGCGUGCGUAGGCGGCUAAUUGAGUCGGAUGUGAAAUCCCCGAGCUUAACUUGGGAAUUGCAUUAGUGACUGGUUAGCUAGAGUGUGGGAGAGGAUGGUAGAAUUCCAGGUGUAGCGGUGAAAUGCGUAGAGAUCUGGAGGAAUACCGAUGGCGAAGGCAGCCAUCUGGCCUAACACUGACGCUGAGGUACGAAAGCAUGGGGAGCAAACAGG
rnacentral:rRNA from 1 species